rnacentral:rRNA from 1 species
UACAGAGGGUGCAAACGUUGUUCGGAAUUACUGGGCGUAAAGCGCGUGCAGGCGGCCUUGCAAGUCGGACGUGAAAUCCCACGGCUCAACCGUGGAAGUGCAUUCGAAACUGCGAGGCUGGAGUCCUGGAGAGGAAAGUGGAAUACUCGGUGUAGAGGUGAAAUUCGUAGAUAUCGAGUGGAACACCGGUGGCGAAGGCGGCUUUCUGGACAGGUACUGACGCUGAGACGCGAAAGCGUGGGGAGCAAACAGGAUUAGAUACCCUGGUAGUCCACGCCGUAAACGAUGAGUGCUAGGUGUCACGGGCUUUGACCCUCGUGGUGCCGAAGCUAACGCGUUAAGCACUCCGCCUGGGGAGUACGGCCGCAAGGCUAAA